rnacentral:rRNA from 1 species
GACGAACGCUGGCGGCGUGCCUAAUACAUGCAAGUCGAGCGGACUUAAAAAGCUUGCUUUUUAAGUUAGCGGCGGACGGGUGAGUAACACGUGGGCAACCUGCCUGUAAGACUGGGAUAACUUCGGGAAACCGGAGCUAAUACCGGAUAAUCCUUUUCUACUCGUGUAGAAAAGCUGAAAGACGGUUUACGCUGUCACUUACAGAUGGGCCCGCGGCGCAUUAGCUAGUUGGUGAGGUAACGGCUCACCAAGGCGACGAUGCGUAGCCGACCUGAGAGGGUGAUCGGCCACACUGGGACUGAGACACGGCCCAGACUCCUACGGGAGGCAGCAGUAGGGAAUCUUCCGCAAAGGACGAAAGUCUGACGGAGCAACGCCGCGUGAGUGAUGAAGGUUUUCGGAUCGUAAAACUCUGUUGUUAGGGAAGAACAAGUACGAGAGUAACUGCUCGUACCUUGACGGUACCUAACCAGAAAGCCACGGCUAACUACGUG